AAGAGACGUUGCCCUUCGGGGUAUACCUCCCACCCUUUGUUUAUUAUACCUUUGUUGCUUUGGCGGGCCCGUCCUCGGACCACCGGCUUCUGCUGGUCAGUGCCCGCCAGAGGACCUAAAACUCUGUUUGUUAAUAUUGUCUGAGUACUAUAUAAUAGUU
rnacentral:misc_RNA from 1 species